AUGAACGCUGGCGGCGUGCCUCAUCCAUGCAAGUCGAGCGAACGGACGAGAAGCUUGCUUCUCUGAUGUUAGCGGCGGACGGGUGAGUAACACGUGGAUAACCUACCUAUAAGACUGGGAUAACUUCGGGAAACCGGAGCUAAUACCGGAUAAUAUUUUGAACCGCAUGGUUCAAAAGUGAAAGACGGUCUUGCUGUCACUUAUAGAUGGAUCCGCGCUGCAUUAGCUAGUUGGUAAGGUAACGGCUUACCAAGGCAACGAUGCAUAGCCGACCUGAGAGGGUGAUCGGCCACACUGGAACUGAGACACGGUCCAGACUCCUACGGGAGGCAGCAGUAGGGAAUCUUCCGCAAUGGGCGAAAGCCUGACGGAGCAACGCCGCGUGAGUGAUGAAGGUCUUCGGAUCGUAAAACUCUGUUAUUAGGGAAGAACAUAUGUGUAAGUAACUGUGCACAUCUUGGCGGUACCUAAUCAGAAAGCCACGGCUAACUACGUG
rnacentral:rRNA from 1 species